rnacentral:rRNA from 1 species
AGAGUUUGAUCCUGGCUCAGAUUGAACGCUGGCGGCAUGCUUUACACAUGCAAGUCGAACGGCAGCACGGGGGCAACCCUGGUGGCGAGUGGCGAACGGGUGAGUAAUGCAUCGGAACGUGCCCAGUAGUGGGGGAUAACGCGUCAAAAGAUGUGCUAAUACCGCAUACGCACUACGGAGGAAAGCGGGGGAUCGUAAGACCUCGCGCUAUUGGAGCGGCCGAUGUCCGAUUAGCUAGUUGGUAGGGUAAUGGCCUACCAAGGCAACGAUCGGUAGCUGGUCUGAGAGGAUGAUCAGCCACACUGGGACUGAGACACGGCCCAGACUCCUACGGGAGGCAGCAGUGGGGAAUUUUGGACAAUGGGCGCAAGCCCGAUCCAGCCAUGCCGCGUGAGUGAAGAAGGCCUUCGGGUUGUAAAGCUCUUUCGGCCGGAACGAAAUCGUCCGGGCUAAUACCCCGGAUGGAUGACGGUACCGGAAGAAGAAGCACCGGCUAACUACGUGCCAGCAGCCGCGGUAAUACGUAGGGUGCAGGCGUUAAUCGGAAUUACUGGGCGUAAAGCGUGCGCAGGCGGCUUCCUAAGUCAGAUGUGAAAUCCCCGGGCUUAACCUGGGAACUGCGUUUGAAACUGGGAGGCUAGAGUGCGGCAGAGGGGGGUGGAAUUCCACGUGUAGCAGUGAAAUGCGUAGAUAUGUGGAGGAACACCGAUGGCGAAGGCAGCCCCCCUGGGCCAGCACUGACGCUCAUGCACGAAAGCGUGGGGGAGCAAACAGGAUUAGAUACCCUGGUAGUCCACGCC